GGGUUAGUAACGCGUGGGAAUAUACCCUUCACUACGGAAUAGCCAUUGGAAACGAUGAGUAAUACCGUAUACGCCCUUCGGGGGAAAGAUUUAUCGGUGAUGGAUUAGCCCGCGUCUGAUUAGAUAGUUGGUGGGGUAAUGGCCUACCAAGUCUACGAUCAGUAGCUGGUUUGAGAGGAUGAUCAGCAACACUGGGACUGAGACACGGCCCAGACUCCUACGGGAGGCAGCAGUGGGGAAUCUUAGACAAUGGGCGCAAGCCUGAUCUAGCCAUGCCGCGUGAGUGACGAAGGCCUUAGGGUCGUAAAGCUCUUUCGCCAGGGAUGAUAAUGACAGUACCUGGUAAAGAAACCCCGGCUAACUCCGUGCCAGCAGCCGCGGUAAUACGGAGGGGGUUAGCGUUGUUCGGAAUUACUGGGCGUAAAGCGUACGUAGGCGGAUUAGAAAGUUGGGGGUGAAAUCCCAGGGCUCAACCCUGGA
rnacentral:rRNA from 1 species